CCUCUUUAUUUGUGGCACAGUCACACUUGCUUUUUAUGCCAAUCUGGGCACACUCGGCUUUGUUUGCAUCAGGCUUUAUUGUGCUGGCAAAUAGCAAAGGAAAAAUUCUCUGGCUCUGCUGCUCAGUUCACUUGUUUCACGGCUUCGUGUUCUUUUUUAUAUGCCACUGGCCCUCUGCUCUGUGAACCCCCCGAAUCUCCAGCUUUCGCAAAUACUUUGGCACUCUGUCUUAAUUGCUUAAAAAUUACUGACAUGGAAAAUGAACUCGGAAAAUGUUAACCACUUUCCCCCCCAUUUGCCCCCUCGCAAAUGUCCCAGCAUCGUAUUGUCAAAGAUUUGGCUGUCCUAACGGCAAAUACUUGCAAAUAUUAUUGUAGUCGAAUGUCGGCAACUAUUUAUCAUCCGGUUUUGGGCGAGCAGAGUUUGUGGACCAUUUGACAAACUUAAUUUAUUAAUGCACCGCUCCCAUCUCGUUUCGUCGUCCUGCUGUAAAUGCCUUCUGCCUUGCUUAAAAGCACAUUAAUUUUCAUUUCAUUUGGUGAUAAAACAAAGACUUUCCAUUUUAAAUAUCUAGUGACAACUAACAAAUAAAAUGUGCCCUAAA